GCUCCUCUGCAGUUGGCUCUAACGGUCGGCGGCGCGAUUUUCGCUUUACAAACUUUGCCACGAUUUUCGGCGCGAUUUUCGCUUUACAAACUUUGCCACGAUUUUCGGCGCGAUUUUCGCUUUACAAACUGGCCCACUUUUCGUACGGAAGGCAGGCGGGCGUUAGUGCUGCUGUUCUUGACGUUUCGAAGCAUCGCAUCCUUCCAGAGGCAGUGAUUCCGAGCGUGGACCAAGUUCUUUCAUUGGAGGGCAAAUGUCAAUAUUUCAUACCUCAACUGCAGGAAUUAUGUCAAUGCCAACAGUCAAAAAUUCUUCAAACUUCAGAAAUGGAUUAAAACAGCUGCCAACAUCAAGUAACCUGAUCUUCCCUGAAGGAUGCAGCAACCUAAACAGAAAACAAUUCAGUUUAUGAAGUCACCUUUUUAAAGCACAUUGUAGAUAUGUGGUUUGCGCAAUGUAGGACACAUGUUUUAACUGCAGUUGUAUGAAGUGACAUCAAUUUUAUUUGAAUUGUGUGCUACUCUUUGUCAGUUUUUUAAAAAGUUGUUAGUUUGAAUCCAACCAACAUUUCUUCUGGAGAAAAAGGAAGAUGGGGUCCCGUUUGACAACCCUAAAAUGGGAAUUACUUGCACAAAAGCCACACAAGGUUGGGAGCUGUAAAAAGGAAGAGAAUUGGACAAGAAUGAAUAAAACUAGUUAAUCAGACCCAACCUUCAAACUUUAUGGGGCCACCAGAAUUUCUAUGCUUGAAACAAUGUCAAUAAUACAGCUGAACUUUAAAGAUACCAACACAGUUCAGAGGACAUUUUUUCCUAUCAACUGUAGUUUUAUUCUAUUCAAAAAUUAAUUCCUUCAGGCUGUUCAGCACAUUCUUAAAUUUAAGACUCUUCAAGUAUCAUUCAGAAGUACAGCAUCUGAAUAAAUUUAUCACAUGGUUGGUACAGAAA